rnacentral:rRNA from 1 species
AACGAACGCUGGCGGCAUGCCUAACACAUGCAAGUCGAACGAGACCUUCGGGUCUAGUGGCGCACGGGUGCGUAACGCGUGGGAACCUGCCCUUAGGUUCGGAAUAACUCCCCGAAAGGGGUGCUAAUACCGGAUAAUGUCUUCGGACCAAAGAUUUAUCGCCUUUGGAUGGGCCCGCGUUGGAUUAGCUAGUUGGUAGGGUAAAAGCCUACCAAGGCGACGAUCCAUAGCUGGUCUGAGAGGAUGAUCAGCCACACUGGGACUGAGACACGGCCCAGACUCCUACGGGAUGCAGCAGUGGGGAAUAUUGGACAAUGGGCGAAAGCCUGAUCCAGCAAUGCCGCGUGAGUGAUGAAGGCCUUAGAGUUGUAAAGCUCUUUUACCCGGGAUGAUAAUGACAGUACCGGGAGAAUAAGCUCCGGCUAACUCCGUG